rnacentral:rRNA from 1 species
UUUUGUCUUAUAUAUGUUUCAUAUUUUGUAGAUGAAUUAGUCCUUUUGUUAUCUUUGAGUCUUGUGUCCUAUUGGUGUUCGCCCACCAUUAGGACAAACAUAAACCUUUUGUAAUUGCAAUCAGCGUCAGUAACAAAUUAAUAAUUACAACUUUCAACAACGGAUCUCUUGGUUCUGGCAUCGAUGAAGAACGCAGCGAAAUGCGAUAAGUAGUGUGAAUUGCAGAAUUCAGUGAAUCAUCGAAUCUUUGAACGCACAUUGCGCCCUUUGGUAUUCCAAAGGGCAUGCCUGUUCGAGCGUCAUUUGUACCCUCAAGCUUUGCUUGGUGUUGGGCGUCUUGUCUCUAGCUUUGCUGGAGACUCGCCUUAAAGUAAUUGGCAGCCGGCCUACUGGUUUCGGAGCGCAGCACAAGUCGCACUCUCUAUCAGCAAAGGUCUAGCAUCCAUUAAGCCUUUUUUCAACUUUGACCUCGAUCAGAGAC